AGGCACUAUCUUAGAACCUCUGGGUGUCUGACCUGUGACCUCAGUGUCUAGUGACAAUGCCAGAGCAGAUGCAGCUUCUUCAUAUCCGGGGCUGUUUGAUGGUGCCACCUUAGUGAUUCCUUUAGCAGCAAGUGGCAUUU
ensembl:snoRNA Gm22532 predicted gene, 22532